AUGGAGUUCGCCACGGGGGCGAUGAGCUCUCUCCUCCCCAAGCUGGGGGAGCUUCUCAAGGAGGAGUACAAGCUGAAGGAGAGUGUGAAGAAGGGGAUAGAAGAACUCGAGGCUGAGCUUGAGAGCAUGCAAGCAGCCCUUGUCAAGGUGUCCAGCGUGCCGCUGGAUCAACUCGACCGGCAGGUCAAAAUUUGGGCUAAUGAGGUCAGGGAGUUGUCCUACGCCAUCGAGGACAGCCUUGACUCCUUCGUGACGCGUGUUGAGGGUGUUGAGCCAACCAAGACCAAAAUCAAGCACUUAUUGAAGACGGCCCGCGGUGAGCUCACCAAGUUCAAGGCAUGGCAUGAAAUGGCCAAUGACAUCAAAAAUAUCGAGAGCCAAGUUAGGAAGAUCAAGGAACGGCGCGACAAGUACAAGAUCGAUGAUGUUGUUGGUAAUCUUGCAACAACUACAGUUGAUCCUCGUCUCUCAUCUCUAUACAACAAGGUAUCUGACCUUGUUGGUAUUGAUAAGGCGAUUGAUGAGCUAGUGAAGGUCUUGUCCGAUGGGGUUGAGAUGUUUGAAAAUAAUCUCAAGAUAGUCUCCAUUGUUGGAUUUGGAGGAUUGGGAAAGACAACUCUUGCAAAAGCAUUGUAUGACAAGCUUAGCAAAACAUAUCAGUGUCAAGGUUUUGUUCCAGUGGGUCAGAAUCCAAACACGAAGAAAGUUCUCAGGGACAUCCUGCUUGAACUUAACACCGAGCUAUACAGAGACGCAGCCACAAUGGAUGAAAGGAAGUUGAUCAACCAGCUGCAAAAGGUCCUUGCAGGCAAAAGGUAUUGGCUGCAUAAUCCUUGUAUACCUCGUAGCUGUCUUGAGCAUCUCGGUAAGUUGGUGCAGCUGAGGUACCUGGGAGUAGUGAAGACAAUGGUCAAGAUCCCGGAAGGAAUAGGACAUGAGCUGAAGUUUCUUGAGAUACUGGAUGUAAGGGCAGGUUUGAUAAGUGAGUUGCCGCCAUCUGUUGGUGAGCUAAUGAAUUUGAGGUGCUUGUGGGCUGAUGAAGGUACAGUGAUGAAGGGCGAGAUAGGAAAGCUGACGUGCCUUGAAGAGCUGGAGCUAUAUUCGGUGGAGAAGUGCCCAAACUUCUCCACAGACGUGGGGAAGCUGACAAAGUUAAGGGUGCUCAAGAUCUUUUUCGGUGAUAUAGAGGAGUCUGCAGGCAAGGCUCUGAUGGAAUCCCUGUGCAACGUGCACAACAUCCAUAGUCUGACAGUCGUGAAUGAUGGUGAUGAUCUUGAGUAUUCGGUUGUCUUCAAUCAUAGUUUGGAAGACUUAGAACCCUGUACAAAGCUGUACGAGGUAAAUAUGAUUAGCAUAGCUAUACCGAGGGUGCCAUCAUGGAUCAAUCAUUUAAGUACUCCACUCCUUUAUCAGCUAUGGUUGCGUGUGGAUGCGGUAGAAGCUCGGGAUGUUCAAACCAUCGGCAGGUUGCCGUCUCUCCUCUUCCUUGUUCUCUGGAGUAAGGAUGAAAAGAACAUAUCAUAUACUUUUAGCAGCAAUGAGUUUCACAAGCUGAGAUGGUUGUUCACGAAGAAGAUAGAGAUCGCUGUUGGAGAAGGAGCAUUGCCGAUGCUUGAAGGGUUGGGAUACAGUGCAAGCGCUGAAAGAAAGGACGCUGCCAGCUUCGUGCCCUGGAGAAGAAAUAGCUGCCCUUUGCUGAAGAAAGUCACCUGUUGUCUUGACUGCACUAACAGCAGCUACAGGGAAGUAGAGCAAACAAAGGAAGCGCUGAGACAGGCUGCUACAACCCAUCCCAAUGCUGAGGAUCUCGAUGUCAACGUAGAAGAAGAAAACUACGAUGAGGCGGCAGGUAGACUCAUUGAUAAUCUCGAGUGGAUCCUACGUGAUUUGGAUGUGGGCCGUCCUGCUGCAUACCAGGAAGAAAGGACACGUCGCAUGAUUAGAUCACUGGAGAGAAGAUUACGUGAUGCUGCGGAGCCUCGAGUUGGGAGGUAUGGUGAACAAGAGAUACGUGACCUUGUUACCAAAUUCAAGAGUUGGAUACGUGACCUUGGGAGGUACGGUGAACAAGAGAUACGUGAUCAUGCAGGUACCGACCUGGUUGAGGCGGGCAAGAGUGCUGUCACAGAUAUAGAGGACAAUGACGAUGAAGAUUAUUAUUACGACGACGACGAUGCUAUCGACCAAGCAGAGGCAGACGACGGUGAAGCCACCUGCAGUGGGGAUCAGCAGGAGGAGGAGGGUGGCAGCCAACCAUGA
rnacentral:rRNA from 1 species